AUAUUGGCCGAGAAUUCUGGAUUUCGGUUGCCUUUUGCUACUGAUACUUAUUCAUCGGUUCCUUCAGUUGUGCCACCUGUUAUAUUCAUGGUCUGUUGCUGGCAAGAGACCACUCUACCUCUGAACUAUUGCUGCAGCAAACCCAGUUGAAAUUGCUGGCAAGAGACCACUCUACCUCUGAACUAUUUCUGCAGCAAACCCAAUUAAAGGUUUCAUGUAGGCACUUAACACUUGAUGUGGCUGAGGAAGGUUGAAGGGCUACAAAAGAAAAAGGUAGGUAUAGUGGAGCACUAAUCCUGGAGAGAGAGUUUGGAUUUG